rnacentral:lncRNA from 1 species
CAGGUGAGGCACACAGAGGGGGAGGCCCGCAGCUGCGUGGGAGGAGGGGUGGUCUGAGGGACGUGGGAUGCCGGGAAAGAGGCUGGUUUGCAGGUUGGCGCAUGGACAUUUUCCCAGAAAGGGACAGAGACGGCGAAGUUUGACGGUCUGGAAAGCAGAGACCAGCAGGGCUGACUGCUUGGGAGGAGGAGAAUGCUAUUUAUUUCAGCACCAAUUAUCCGGACAGCGCCUCUCGGGAGGUCCGAGAAGAGAACCGCGAUCUGUUUCAGCACCGGGGCUCAGGACAGUUCCCAGCGGGCUCCGUUUCGGCUCCAGAACCCUGGACAGCUCCUCCAGCUUGGAAUGCACUCCCUCCACCUCCACCCAGAGCUCCCCACAACUGACCCUGCCUUCUCCUGCAAGCUCCAUUUCAUCAAGGGAAAGGAUCCUUAUUGCCUCACCAUUUCCCACGUGAAGUCUGUAUUGACAUUCUCACAGACCUGGGAUAUUGUGUCUGCAGCACAUACUCCAAUUAUUUUCAUGUUAUCUACUGACAGGUCUAUUUGUCUCCCUGUUACACUGUGAGCUCCGUGAGGGCAGAAACAAUG